GUUCGUUUCUGUGUGUGUUACAAUUUAACGUUGCGUCGUUUGUUUUCUCUUAUUUUUGAGUGUAAAUUGACAUUGCGAUAAGACGUGUUACGGUACUUGUCUAUCCCAAAUUCAUGUAUUUGGUUUUGAUGUUAUAUUUGUUAUUCUCGUGGGAUUUUGUCUGAUGCUUGGUCCGUUUCUGUGUGUGUUAGUUACAUUGAAGUGUUGUGUCGUUGUUCUCCUCUUAUAUUUUUGUGUUUCCGUCAGUUUUAGUUUGUUACCCCGAUUUUG
rnacentral:lncRNA from 1 species